CAAUACACAGGCAGUGGCCCAUGUGCACUCCACAUCACAGAUACGGACCCAUUCACUUGAAUGGGUCCGCAAUCACAGAGAUGCGGAACGAAAGCAUGGAUCGAAACCCCACGGAAGCACUAUGGAGUGCUUCCUUGGUGUUUCUGGCCGUGCCUCUGCAGCGCAA